CGCUGAAAAGAGCAAACCCGGAGCGAUCCGGGGACGCAAAACCGUGCUCCCGCCUUCAUGGCGGGACGGCAGGUUGCCACG
rnacentral:ncRNA from 1 species